rnacentral:tRNA from 1 species
CAGUGAAAAGCCAAACUAAGAGGCAUUUAACUGUUAAUUAAAAAAUUGAAAGACCUUUCUUCACUGA